UACGUAGGAGGCGAGCGUUGUCCGGAAUCACUGGGUGUAAAGCGCGUGUAGGCGGCCUGUCAAGUCUGCUGUGAAAGCGCCUGGCUUAACCGGGCGAGGUCGGUGGAAACUGACGGGCUGGAGGCCGGUAGAGGGGGGUGGAAUUCCGAGUGUAGAGGUGAAAUUCGUAGAUAUUCGGAAGAACACCAGUGGCGAAGGCGGCUCACUGGACUGGUAUUGACGCUGAGGUGCGAAAGCGUGGGGAGCAAACAGG
rnacentral:rRNA from 1 species